UCUUGUUUUCAGGGAAAGAUAUAAUGUUGAGAAAGUCCAAAGCAUUUCUGAUAGUCCCAUUAUUGGGGAGAUACAAGGAACAGGCUUGAUUCUCGGGACUGAGUUUGCUGACAAUAAAAUCACCUAAUGAUCCGUUCCCUCUGAAUGGGGCGUAGGUGCAUAUUUUGGAGCUGAGUGCGAGAAGCAAGGAACUCUAGUAACAGUUUCUGGGGAUAAUAUAAUUAUGACCCCGC